GAUGAACGCUGGCGGCGUGCUUAAUACAUGCAAGUCGAGCGAGAAGUUUUGAAAAGUUUCUCUGGAUGAAAUUUAACAUGGAAAGCGGUGGCCGGGUGAGUAACGCGUAGGCAACCUGCCCCAUACAAGGGGAUCGCAUUCGGAUACGAAUAUUAAUAUCUUAUGACACUUAACUAGUGCAUGCUAGGUAGGUCCAAGAGCUAUCGGUUUGGGAUGGGCCUGCGUCGGAUUAUCUAGUUGGUGAGGUAUCGGCGCACCAAGGCGACGAUCAGUAACCGACCAGCUGAGACAAGCGGCAGCAUUGGAACGGAGACACGAGCCAAACUCCUACGGGAGGCAGCGGUAGGGAAUAGUGCACAAUGGGGGAAAGCCAGAAGCAGCAACGCAGCGUGAACGACGAAUGCCUUUGAGUCGUAAAGUUCUGUGCUAGGAGAUGAAAACUGACAGUAACCAAGGAGAAAGCCCCGGCUAACUCCGUG
rnacentral:rRNA from 1 species